rnacentral:rRNA from 1 species
AUGUCUUCUUCAAGCUCCCGCGCCACCUCAUGGAUGUAGAGCCCGGCGCGCGUGGAGAUGCCUAUCUUCGUCUGUCCGUGGUGCUGGGCCGGCGUUGACCCCAGUGUUUCUCACACACCGAGGAACCAGAAUCGUCCGUUCUACGUAUGCAGCGAGAAUGGGGUGAAAUGUUUCUUUCUUUGGGUCGAUGUUCUGGCCAAGACUCUGAUGAAUGAACUGCAAGAGCAUGAAGAAUGGUUGUGCAUGCUGCCACGAACGGCAGUGGCCGCAGCAUGAGCUCCGGAAGAAGAGAUGGAGGGCGAAGUACGCACUGACAGAGAGCUAGCCAAUGAGCUUAGGAUGUUGAAGAAGAAGGUUAGGAAGCUUGAAGAUCAAGCACAAAUACCAAUACCCAUUUGCAAUUACUUUUGGGCAUUUGUAGGUAUGGUAAUCGCACUGGGUGUAAUGUUGAAAUUGUAUGGAAAGGCAUGA